CAUCCCUUCCGGAUAAUAUUGGAACGAUACAGAGAAUAUUAGAUGGCCCCUGCGCAAGGAUGACAUGUCAUGGCUCGAGACGUUGGGUCGAUUU
rnacentral:snRNA from 1 species